rnacentral:rRNA from 1 species
CCUACGGGUGGCAGCAGUGAGGAAUAUUGGUCAAUGGACGCAAGUCUGAACCAGCCAAGUAGCGUGAAGGAAGACGGCCCUACGAGUUGUAAACUUCUUUUAUAAGGGCAUAAAGACAGACACGUGUGCCUGUUUGAAUGUAGUUUAUGAAUAAGGAUCGGCUAACGCCGUGCCGGCAGCCGCGGUAAUACGGAGGAUCCGAGCGUUAUCCGGAUUGAUUGGGGUUAAGGGGAGCGUAGAUGGGAUGUGAAGUCAGAUGUGAAAGUUUGCGGCUGAACAGUAAAAUUGCAAUUGAUACUGGUAGUCUUGAGUGCAGUUGAGGUAGGCGGAAUUCGUGGUGUAGCGGUGAAAUGCUUAGAUAUCACGAAGAACACCGAUUGCGAAGGCAGCUUACUAAACUGCCACUGACGUUGAUGCACGAAAGUGUGGGGAGCAAACAGGAUUAGAUACCCGGGUAGUC